rnacentral:miRNA from 1 species
ACCACCUCCCCUGCAAACGUCCAGU